AGCGAACGCUGGCGGCAGGCCUAACACAUGCAAGUCGAACGAACUCUUCGGAGUUAGUGGCGGACGGGUGAGUAACACGUGGGAACGUGCCUUUUGGUUCGGAAUAACUCAGGGAAACUUGUGCUAAUACCGAAUGUGCCCUUCGGGGGAAAGAUUUAUCGCCAUUAGAGCGGCCCGCGUCUGAUUAGCUAGUUGGUGAGGUAACGGCUCACCAAGGCGACGAUCAGUAGCUGGUCUGAUAGGAUGACCAGCUACACUGGGACUGAGACACGGCCCAGACUCCUACGGGAGGCAGCAGUGGGGAAUCUUGCGCAAUGGGCGAAAGCCUGACGCAGCCAUGCCGCGUGAAUGAUGAAGGUCCUAGGAUUGUAAAAUUCUUUCACCGGGGACGAUAAUGACGGUACCCGGAGAAGAAGCCCCGGCUAACUUCGUG
rnacentral:rRNA from 1 species